rnacentral:tRNA from 1 species
UCCCUGGUGGUCAAGGGGUUGAGACUCCACGCUCCCAAUGCAGGGGGCCUGGGUUCGAUCCCUGGUCAGGGAA